AAACGGGGAAUACCUCUCUUCCUAUACCCUGUGUGGGUUGUAAACUAUGUUCAGAAACACGCAUAGGUCUGCCUACAUUUUCUAAAUGUCACCAGACAGGAGGCACAGUACGGUGCAGGGUUGUACCUCAACAUCUGUAUUCAUGAUUGACUUAAACUGCAGUGGUGGAGGAAGUAUUCAGGUGCUUUACUGCAGUAAAAGUAAUAAUAACAUACUGCAAAUGUGUCUUUACAAGUAAAAGUCCUGCUUUGAAAAUGCUACUCAAGUUUACACAUAAAAGUAUUGUUAAAAAAAUCAAGAGUAAAAGUGUCUUUAGUCCCUGUUGUGCUGUUAUAUAUGUUUUAUUGUUAGAUUAUUGCAGAUGCAUUAAACGUGUAAGCAGCAUUUUACUGUGGUAGGUGACCUUGGUGGAGAUGAUUUGAGCUGUGGGUGGUUUAAAGUGAAGUAAA